rnacentral:rRNA from 1 species
AAAGGAAUUGACGGGGGCCCGCACAAGCGGAGGAACAUGUGGUUUAAUUCGAUGAUACGCGAGGAACCUUACCCGGGUUCAAAUGUUGGAUGCAUAACGGUGAAAGUCGUUUUUCCUUCGGGACUGCCAACAAGGUGCUGCAUGGUUGUCGUCAGCUCGUGCCGUGAGGUGUCGGGUUAAGUCCCUUAACGAGCGCAACCCCUAUCGUUAGUUGCCAUCAGGUAAUGCUGGGCACUCUGGCGAGACUGCCACCGUAAGGUGUGAGGAGGGUGGGGAUGACGUCAAAUCAGCACGGCCCUUACACCCGGGGCUACACACGUGUUACAAUGGCAAGGACAAAGGGCAGCUACCUGGUGACAGGAUGCGAAUCUCUAAACCUUGUCGUAGUUCGGAUUGGAGUCUGCAACCCGACUCCAUGAAGUUGGAUUCGCUAGUAAUCGCGCAUCAGCCAUGGCGCGGUGAAUACGUUCCCGGGCCUUGUACACACCGCCCGU